GUAACGGCGAGUGAAGCGGCAACAGCUCAAAUUUGAAAUCUGGCCUCCUCGGGGUCCGAGUUGUAAUUUGUAGAGGGUGUUUCGGGCGCGAUGCCGGUCUAAGUUCCUUGGAACAGGACGUCGUAGAGGGUGAGAAUCCCGUAUGCGACCGGCGAUCAAGCCUGUGUGAAGCCCCUUCGACGAGUCGAGUUGUUUGGGAAUGCAGCUCAAAAUGGGUGGUAAAUUUCAUCUAAAGCUAAAUAUUGGCCAGAGACCGAUAGCGGACAAGUAGAGUGAUCGAAAGAUGAAAAGCACUUUGGAAAGAGAGUCAAACAGUACGUGAAAUUGUUGAAAGGGAAGCGCUUGCAAUCAGACCGGUCCGGAGGUGAUCAGCCGCUGCUCGUCAGCGGUGCACUCGCCUGCGAUCCGGCCAGCAUCGGUUUGGGCGGUGGGAUAAAAGUCCCGGGAAUGUAGCUUCCUUCGGGGAGUCUUAUAGCCCGGGUCGCAAUGCCGCCCGCCUGGACCGAGGACCGCGCUUC
rnacentral:rRNA from 1 species